rnacentral:rRNA from 1 species
UGGAAUUGCUAGUAAUGGCAGGUCAGCAUACUGCCGUGAAUACGUUCCCGGGCCUUGUACACACCGCCCGUCACACCAUGAGAGUUGGGAAUACCCGAAGCCUGUGAGCUAACUGUAAGGAGGCAGCAGUCGAAGGUAGAAUCAAUGAUUGGGGUGAAGUCGUAACAAGGUAAC